AGUGAACGCUGGCGGUAGGCCUAACACAUGCAAGUCGAACGGCAGCACAGUAAGAGCUUGCUCUUACGGGUGGCGAGUGGCGGACGGGUGAGGAAUACAUCGGAAUCUACUUUUUCGUGGGGGAUAACGUAGGGAAACUUACGCUAAUACCGCAUAAGACCUACGGGUGAAAGCAGGGGAUCUUCGGACCUUGCGCGAAUGAAUGAGCCGAUGUCGGAUUAGCUAGUUGGCGGGGUAAAGGCCCACCAAGGCGACGAUCCGUAGCUGGUCUGAGAGGAUGAUCAGCCACACUGGAACUGAGACACGGUCCAGACUCCUACGGGAGGCAGCAGUGGGGAAUAUUGGACAAUGGGCGCAAGCCUGAUCCAGCCAUACCGCGUGGGUGAAGAAGGCCUUCGGGUUGUAAAGCCCUUUUGUUGGGAAAGAAAAGCAGCAGGUUAAUACCCCGCUGUUCUGACGGUACCCAAAGAAUAAGCACCGGCUAACUUCGUG
rnacentral:rRNA from 1 species